rnacentral:lncRNA from 1 species
UAAGUUUAAAGGGGCACUAGCUGUCAAAUUCAUGGUCACCGAUUUGACUCAAAUUCUCAUAUUUGAUUUAUAACAAUGUAAAACAUUUAUCCAAACUAUCAAAAGUCUAAAAUAAACAGUUUACAGAGCAUGGGAUAGAUAAUAUAUAGGUUCGUUUCGUGUGUAUUUUAGUCCAGACACCAUCUAAUUACCUAUCGAUUUGACCUCAGAUGACCAUAUAAGCGAUGUAAACAUAAAUAAAGAUAUGAAUAGAUUAAACCAACACGUGCAAUUGGAUUUUUAUAGGACUGUUUGAUUUUAUUUUAUAGAUUAAAAAUAGGUGUUUCUCAUUGUUUUUAACCGUAUAAGAAUGAUUUUAUGUGCAUCGAAUUAGUAAUCAAAUGAUUUACCGCAGUUUCACUUUCAUUGUUGACAUUCUUCUUCUGUAAAAAAACCAGUACACGUACAAUGCAUGCGUUGUCAAACUCUAUCUAGGGGUUAAAUUGAAGUUCACAUGAAUACGGAUUUAAAGAGGUCGACUCAUUCACUUGCAAGUGAAUUACUAAUUAUCAAUGUUUCUUAGCGUAAUUUGACAAAAUUGAACCUUUUUGCCUGCAAAAAGCGAAUUGUUAUUUCACUAUUUCACUUUCAUUAUUGAUUGAACAGAAAAAAAUCAAACUUUAGAUUUUUUAUAUAUCUCGUAGCUAGUGCCCCUUUAAGUAA